GAUCUCUACACCUUCUUCUCUUGAUAAGUCCAGCAAGGACUCACUCAGUCACUCACAAACAAAACUACAAUUUGAGGAACCACUUGUCAGGCAAGAGAAGUCAAGGCAUAAAAGGGAGGGCUUUGCACUGUCAAGAAAAUCCGAAGCUCCAUUCCCUAAAGAUCUACUUGAAGUUUUAGGGACUUCAGAUAUCCAGACUCUGGAGGACCUAGUGGCUAAACUGGAGUUUGAGAAUGAGCUGCACCGUGUGUGUGGGAAUCAGGACAUAGACAAUGAGUUUCUAUCACCAGAGGAACACAGUUCAGACAGCUUAGUAGAGGACAGAAGCAGCAGCAAUGGAGAUGUGUCCAGUUCAGAGGAGGACCACUGCAUGUUAGAGAUUGUGUUGCAGAUGGAAAGGGAGUAUGAUCU